rnacentral:lncRNA from 10 species
AUUUAAACAAGCUCCCAAGAAGGCAACAGGGACCCACUGUACCCCAAGAGGCACUCCAAGUUUCCUUCAGAGAGGAAAAAGAGAGACGGGGCUCCUAGAACCCACUCUCCCCAAAGGCGAGUUUCCCAGGCGCCGCUCGUGCUGUUGCUGGAAAGCGAGCUCGCUGUAGACCGGCCGCGACACCAUGUAGCUGCAGCUGUACUCGGGGAGCUGCGGCGGCUCCGACCUGCCGCCUGGCGCUGCCAUGACCUGCGAGCCAGAGGACAGCGAGGAGGGAGGACACGCGGUAAGCGAGGACGAUCGGAGGGGAAGAGCGAGGAACAGAAAGAACGGGAUCACCUGUUAGCUGCAGCCAGGCCCCCCUGCACCGCGAGUCUGGUCCGCGUCCUGCAGCCCUCGGCGCUCGCGACAAGCGCCCCACGGCGCGCACGGCCAGCCUGCAGGGGGGCACCUGAGAACCUUCGGGUCUCGUGGCCUGCACCCGCUGCCCGGGGUUCCCCAAACUUGAAGCGAGUAAGCCCCUGCUCUGGGGGCUUCCCGAGUUCCACCCAGUCCCCUAUGGCCCGCAGCCAGGGCGCUGUCCGCGGGGAAGGAAUAAACUGGACUACAUGGAAAUCAAGACUAGAAGAGAGGGAGGAGGAGCUGGAGCUAUCCUACCUCAUCAGUGUUUUGUCUUCUGUUGGGAUGAACUUUGUUAAAACUAAUGCAUGGUUAAGAUGAAAGGCAGAAGGAAGGGUUUGAUAAACCAGAACAUUCUCGCCUGAUUGUUAGUGUUCUGAAGUAAAUACAGAAGAGGCUCCAAAAUACAGACCUCUGUACAUCAACCUUCCGUAAUCCACCUGCCUUGCAUAUGCAGACCAUGACAAUUCUACGAGCUCCUGGAAACAGAACUCAGAACUCCUCCCCAGAGAACCCUGAUGCAAAUUCUCUGAAAUGGUAGUCAGCAUGUGCGUUUUCCUGAGAAGUGAAUGAGUCAACAGCUUUCAACAGAUCUUCAAAGGCUUACUUCACCCAAUGAAGUUAAGAACCACUAAAGAAGAAACCUAAAAGGAAAAUCCAGGUCAUGAACUUUGCAAUUUUUAUUCACAUACAGAGAAGAGGGGAGGAAUCUCUUGUGUAUGUUUUACUUAUGUAUACCACUGGUUCUUAAUAAAGGGCUUUUUUUGCCUCCAGAGGUCAAUGCCUGGAGACAUUUUUGGUUGUCACACCUAGGGAGAUGCUAUUGGGAUCUAGUGAGUAGAGACCAGAGAUGCUGCUAAACAUCCUACAAUGAAGUUUGCUAUCACUCCAAGGUUUUGCAUGCGACUUAAACUGUACAUUUAUUAAUCAAUUGCUACAUGUACUAAAAUAUGUAUCUCUCUCCAUAUAUGUAUAUAUGCGUGUAUUUUUUCAUUAUUGUUGGAUGUAUAGCUCAACUCCACUACAACAGAGGAAAGUAUUUGUUUUAAAGUAGAAUCUGAAUAUACUCACUCUGUAUACCCUCAUCCAUACCUUCAAGAUCUGGUGAAAACACUAUCUCUUGCAAGAACAUUCUUUGAUGCUGUUCAGAAUUAAUCCAGACCCUUUUCUGUAUUCUCUUAAUACCUUAUCUGAUCCUCUCUUAAGUUACUUCUCACUAUCUACCUUAGUAACACAAUUUUAUUUACAUACAAGUUCUCUCUCCCUCACUAGACAAAAACUUCUUGAGGGCAAGCACUGUGUCUCCUUUCAACCAUUAUUAUCUUCUCUCAUGUUUUUUGAACAGAUUUAUCUAUAGCCCAAACAUACCUUUUCAAAAAACUAAAAAUUACUUUACAUAUUUGAUCUAAGGCUUUGUUUUUCUCCAUUAAGAGCAUGCUGUGGAUAUCUUUGCAAGUGAGUGCAUAAGGAUUUUUCUUAACCUUGGAGAUGGCUGUCUAGGAUUUCAGAAUAUCAACUCAUAUUUGUAGCUCCAUGGCAACUCACCUACACAACUCACAACUCUUUAUUGAAGGCAUUCUGUACCAAUAUAAAUAUAGUCCAUAUCCCAUUCUAAUAUGGAUUUCUGCUCCUUGUUGCUUGCUAUUUUGAACACUUUUAGUCUGGUCCAGUCAGGCCUAUAAACCACUUUGCAUCAGAACUUGGCAAUGGUUUGCUGGUUCAGAGGAUUAAGGAGUGGGGUAAGGCUGGCAGAAGGACAGAAGAGAAAAGACUUGAGUAACAACAGGAGGCAAAAGAGUAACUUAGCUUGGCUAAUAGAAUUCUUAUUUGAAAUGCAUCUCUCUAUAUAAGAGUUUGGUUCAAUAAUCACAAUAUAAUAAGUCCUGCAUGUAUCUGGAUGAAGAUAAUUGCUUUUUUCUGUUCAAUGCUUUUCCAUAGCAGAAAUAGCUGGGGCAGAACAAAAUGGUAUCUCUGUUACAGGAUUCUAUAAGGGUAUAGAACUGCUUUUCUCAUAGGUAAAAGGCAGACCGUUUGAAUUUGGCUUUUUAAAAACAGAAGAGUAGGAGGAAAUAACAGCUUGCUCUCUCCACCCUAUUUAAUUGUGAUAUUAAACACCUUAGAUUACUCACUUGGGCUUUAUAAGGCAACCUUCUCCUGUUUCACACAGAGGUGGGUGGUUCUUAUUUAUCAGACUUUUAAAAUAUUCAGGACUUCUUUCCAAAGAAAUAGAUGCAUCACUUAAAAAUAAAUAUCAGACAAUAUUAUUGAUACUUUACAGUACUUAUUUAGCAGUUAAUACUUUUUUAAAAGGCAUUUUCUUAUUUAUCAUUUAGGCAUUUGCAGUGUAAGACAAACUCCCUUGUUUGAUUACGCAUUCACCUGUUCAUUCAUUCAUUCAUUCAAGGAUUUAUUAGGAAAUUAUUUGUGCUGGCUGUGGGUACAAUGAUGAACAAAAGCUUAUACCCUGGCCUCAUAUUUAUGGGUGCAGUAGACACUAAUCAAAUGGUCACAAAAUGUGUAUCUUAUUUCACUGAUUAUAAAAUACAGAUUUUUCACAUUUUAUCAGGGUUCAUGUUAUAAUUGAUGAUCUACUAUAUAUUAUAGUUUAAUUGAUAGCGUAUUUUGUGAUUCAUAAAAUGAGUUUUAUAAUAGAAUUCUAUAAUUAAUAAAAUAUAGAUAUUUACAUAAAUUUAUAGUGUAUCUAUGCCUUUUUUUUCUUUUUUAGAGAUGGGAUCUUGCUAUUUUGCCCAGGCUGGACUUGAACUCCCAGUCUCCAGAAUAGCUGGGACUAUAGGUGCACACCACCACACCUGACAGAGUAUCUAUGCUUUUGAGUGACUACGUGUGCUACAAGAAUGAUUUAAUUGAAUCCUUCGUUUAUUUAACUUAAGAGCAGUCAAUCUUGCUACAUUAUUUUUGUCUGAGAGCGAAUAUUGUGGUAUAAAUUUUUUCUUUUUUUUUUUUUUUUUACAAUUUAAAAUGUUCUCAAAUCAGAAGAAUUGCAAAAGAAUGCAAACAUGUUGGCUGGGCGCUGUGGCUCACAGUGUAAUCCCAACACUUUGAGAAGCUGAGGCGGGAGGAUCACUUGAGCCAGGCCUAAUCCUGAGCUUUUAUUUCAUUAUGCGUGUUAAUUUUCUCAAGAUAGCAAAUGCUAAAUUUUUGUCAUACUUAUACAAAAAGAGAACUGAACUGAACUUUCUUUCUAUAUUUCUGAUCUCUUCUUCUCUGAGCAACUUAUUGGGCUUAUUCUCAGUAAUCAUACAGUUUUGCACUCAAUUGUUUUCUUGGUUUUUUGUUGUUAUUUUUAUCUUGCACUCAAUUGUUUUCUAUUUGUUUACUGUAUGCUACUUUAUUUUCUUCUCCAGUUAUAAGAUAUGCUCCCUAGGGACAUAAAUAGUAUAUGUCUUUUAUGGUGUUACAAAAAUAAGAUGUGCCUGUAGUAAAUAAUUUGGAAACUACAUUAAUGUAUAAUAUAGUAAUCACAUUUUAUCUCAUUAUCCAGAUAAUCACUGUUUUGCUUCUUUUUUUAUUUAUUCUUUCUAUGCAGACAUAGGUAUACAUUUUUAUUAAAGUAAAAUUAUAAUGCUAGUCUCUUUAUUUCCCUACACAAUACCUUGACAAAUUAUGACAAUAUAAUAGGUACCAGACUUGUUAAAUUAUUGAUCAAUUGAUUGUUUAACAAUGGAAUUUUGAGAAAUAUUUGGGUAGAAAAAAAACUAGUUUUAAAAGAAGAGAAUCCAACCAUUAAAACAUCAAAAAAUGAA